ACACAUGCAAGUCGAGCGAUCUUCUUCGGAAGGGAGCGGCGGACGGGUGAGUAACGCGUGGGUAACCUGCCCUGUACACACGGAUAACAUACCGAAAGGUAUGCUAAUACGGGAUAACAUAAGAAAGUCGCAUGGCUUUCUUAUCAAAGCUUUUGCGGUACAGGAUGGACCCGCGUCUGAUUAGCUAGUUGGUAAGGUAACGGCUUACCAAGGCGACGAUCAGUAGCCGACCUGAGAGGGUGAUCGGCCACAUUGGAACUGAGACACGGUCCAAACUCCUACGGGAGGCAGCAGUGGGGAAUAUUGCACAAUGGGCGAAAGCCUGAUGCAGCAACGCCGCGUGAGCGAUGAAGGCCUUCGGGUCGUAAAGCUCUGUCCUCAAGGAAGAUAAUGACGGUACUUGAGGAGGAAGCCCCGGCUAACUACGUGCCAGCAGCCGCGGUAAUACGUAGGGGGCUAGCGUUAUCCGGAAUUACUGGGCGUAAAGGGUGCGUAGGCGGUCUUUCAAGUCAGAAGUGAAAGGCUACGGCUCAACCGUAGUAAGCUUUUGAAACUGUAAGACUUGAGUGCAGGAGAGGAGAGUGGAAUUCCUAGUGUAGCGGUGAAAUGCGUAGAUAUUAGGAGGAACACCAGUUGCGAAGGCGGCUCUCUGGACUGUAACUGACGCUGAGGCACGAAAGCGUGGGGAGCAAACAGG
rnacentral:rRNA from 1 species